UCUUCGUUCUCGCUUCCUUUUUUUUUUUGACAGAGAUGGGCCUUUGGCCGGCCCACGGGUGCGCACCGCCCCAGAGAUCGGAUAAGGGAGAGGCGACGGGGCGGCUUCCGAUCCCAUCGACCAACCGCCCCCAAUCUCCUUGUCCAAACGGCGGCCUCGGCCGCCUCCCGGCCAUCCGCCGUCGUCGCUGGACAGAGGGUCCCGGCGCGCCGUACUUCUCCUCUGAAGAAGAAUUUAUCUCGCUGCCGCGCAAGGAAACUGCCUGACGCUUGCCUCGACGAUCAGCGGCACGCCGACGCCGUGCGCCGUCGCGCCGUUCGACUGCUGCUACCGAAGCUGCGCGCCCGCGCAGGAAUGCCUCACUGGGCCCCGACGGUUGUGCCGAGGGCCGCAACGCGGGCUGGGCGCCGCCUACGCGCGCUAUGCACGCGGUGCCGCCACGGUCGCUUAUGCGGGGCUGCAUGAUCUUCUUUGGCAUGGAGAUGGAGGGGCUGGUGCGUCGCCGCCCUUUGUGUAGAGAGCGCCGACAAGAGGCAUCUCCUCCCCUCUAUAAUCUUGGGCGUGGACUCACGACCGCUGCUGAUGCCGAAGGUACCAUCGGCCAUGUUCAUGUCGUGGAUGGCCGUUGUCGACGCUGAAGGUGCCAUACGCUUUCUCCCGUGCCGAUGCAUGCAUGUCUUCUCUUUCUGUUGCAUGUCGCCAUGUGCAGGGCCGCGUGAGCCGCCGCCGGUCCUCAAGAAGGGGGCGAGGUCCACGCCGUUGCGUAGCCCAUGAGCACUGCGGGUACGGCGCAGACGCCGUCGCCGCCGUGACUGAUGUCGCCAUCCGCACCGGGGCUUGAUGCUUCACUCCGCCGCACCGUAUAGCGCCGCUUGAGCGUAGCGCCGGCACAGCCGGGGAUCCGCGAGGCAUCGCUGUUCUCUCUGGCCUAAUCGCUCUCCGUUAGGCAAAGUGCUGAUAACGUGAUGUGAAACAAGGAAGACAAAUGAAUCUCUAUCUCUUUCAUCGAUGAUCUCUGUACAUUA